rnacentral:rRNA from 1 species
AAUAGAUACCCUGGUAGUCCACGCCGUAAACGAUGAUCACUAGGUGUGUGCGGUAUCGACCCCGCACGUGCCGUAGCUAACGCAUGAAGUGAUCCGCCUGGGGAGUACGGCCGCAAGGUUGAAACUCAAAGGAAUUGACGGGGGCCCGCACAAGCGGUGGAGCAUGUGGAUUAAUUCGAUGCAACGCGAAGAACCUUACCAAGGCUUGACAUGAACCGGAAAGAUCUGGAAACAGGUCCCCCACUUGUGGUCGGUUUACAGGUGGUGCAUGGUUGUCGUCAGCUCGUGUCGUGAGAUGUUGGGUUAAGUCCCGCAACGAGCGCAACCCUCGUUCUAUGUUGCCAGCACGUGAUGGUGGGGACUCAUAGGAGACUGCCGACGUUAAGUCGGAGGAAGGUGGGGAUGACGUCAAGUCCUCAUGGCCCUUAUGCCCAGGGCUACACACGUGCUACAAUGGCCGGUACAAAGGGCUGCGACACCGCGAGGUGAAGCCAAUCCCAAAAAACCGGUCUCAGUUCGGAUUGGAGUCUGCAACG